GGGCUUUGGAAACCCUCCGCCUCCUGCAGUAGCUUCCUAGAACAUCUGAAAACUUCAACAAGUUUUGUGAUGGCAGGAAACUAUUGCUAUGAAACUCAAUGUUCAACUGCUGUAAUUUUUCAUUUGUUGUUUUGGAGUGAUCAACAG